UUUCAAGUAUAAGUAUAGCCCGUGCAAUAUUUGGGACAUACUUAUACUAAGA
rnacentral:pre_miRNA from 1 species